GGAGGGCCAUGGUUCAGUGGUAGAAUACAGGCUUUGCAUGCAAAAGUUCCUAGGUUCAAUCCCCAGCAUCUCCC